rnacentral:piRNA from 1 species
UGAAUGGUGAUCUGUCUGAGAUGUAC